rnacentral:rRNA from 1 species
AACGAACGCUGGCGGCAGGCCUAACACAUGCAAGUCGAACGCUGUAGCAAUACAGAGUGGCAGACGGGUGAGUAACACGUGGGAAUCUUCCUAUCGGUACGGAAUAGCUCAGGGAAACUUGGGGUAAUACCGCAUACGCCCUUCGGGGGAAAGAUUUAUCGCCGAUAGAUGAGCCCGCGUCUGAUUAGCUAGUUGGUGAGGUAAUGGCUCACCAAGGCGACGAUCAGUAGCUGGUCUGAGAGGAUGAUCAGCCACACUGGGACUGAGACACGGCCCAGACUCCUACGGGAGGCAGCAGUGGGGAAUAUUGGACAAUGGGCGAAAGCCUGAUCCAGCCAUGCCGCGUGAGUGACGAAGGUCUUCGGAUUGUAAAGCUCUUUUGGCGGGGACGAUAAUGACGGUACCCGCAGAAUAAGCCCCGGCUAACUUCGUGCCAGCAGCCGCGGUAACAC